GACGAACGCUGGCGGCGUGCCUAACACAUGCAAGUCGAGCGAGGAACUUCGGUUCCUAGCGGCGGACGGGUGAGUAACACGUGGGUAACCUGCCUCAAAGAGGGGGAUAGCCUCCCGAAAGGGAGAUUAAUACCGCAUAACAUUAAGCUGCUGCAUGGUAGCUUAAUCAAAGGAGUAAUCCGCUUUGAGAUGGACCCGCGGCGCAUUAGCUAGUUGGUGAGGUAACGGCUCACCAAGGCGACGAUGCGUAGCCGACCUGAGGGGGUGAUCGGCCACAUUGGAACUGAGACACGGUCCAGACUCCUACGGGAGGCAGCAGUGGGGAAUAUUGCACAAUGGGCGAAAGCCUGAUGCAGCAACGCCGCGUGAGUGAUGAAGGCCUUCGGGUUGUAAAGCUCUGUCUUUGGGGACGAUUAUGACGGUACCCAAGGAGGAAGCCACGGCUAACUACGUGCCAGCAGCCGCAGUAAGAC
rnacentral:rRNA from 1 species